AUUGAACGCUGGCGGAAUGCUUUACACAUGCAAGUCGAACGGCAGCACGGGGCAACCUGGUGGCGAGUGGCGAACGGGUGAGUAAUACAUCGGAACGUGCCCAAUCGUGGGGGAUAACGUAGCGAAAGUUACGCUAAUACCGCAUACGAUCUACGGAUGAAAGCGGGGGAUCGCAAGACCUCGCGCGAGUGGAGCGGCCGAUGUCAGAUUAGGUAGUUGGUGGGGUAAAGGCUCACCAAGCCAACGAUCUGUAGCUGGUCUGAGAGGACGACCAGCCACACUGGAACUGAGACACGGUCCAGACUCCUACGGGAGGCAGCAGUGGGGAAUUUUUGGGACAAUGGGCGCAAGCCUGAUCCAGCCAUUCCGCGUGCAGGAUGAAGGCCUUCGGUUG
rnacentral:rRNA from 1 species